GGCGGAUGGGUGAGUAACGCGUGGGCAACCUGGCCUGUACAGGGGGAUAACACUUAGAAAUAGGUGCUAAUACCGCAUAACGGGGGAAGCCGCAUGGCUUUUCCCUGAAAACUCCGGUGGUACAGGAUGGGCCCGCGUCUGAUUAGCCAGUUGGCAGGGUAACGGCCUACCAAAGCGACGAUCAGUAGCCGGCCUGAGAGGGCGGACGGCCACACUGGGACUGAGACACGGCCCAGACUCCUACGGGAGGCAGCAGUGGGGGAUAUUGCACAAUGGGGGGAACCCUGAUGCAGCGACGCCGCGUGGGUGAAGAAGCGCCUCGGCGCGUAAAGCCCUGUCAGCAGGGAAGAAAAUGACGGUACCUGAAGAAGAAGCCCCGGCUAACUACGUGCCAGCAGCCGCGGUAAUACGUAGGGGGCAAGCGUUAUCCGGAUUUACUGGGUGUAAAGGGGGCGCAGACGGCGAUGCAAGCCAGGAGUGAAAGCCCGGGGCUCAACCCCGGGACUGCAUUUGGAACU
rnacentral:rRNA from 1 species